GACGAACGCUGGCGGUGUGCUUAACACAUGCAAGUCGAACGGUAAGGCCCUUUCGGGGGUACACGAGUGGCGAACGGGUGAGUAACACGUGAGUAACCUGCCCUCAUCUCUGGGAUAACAGUCGGAAACGGUUGCUAAUACUGGAUAUGAGCUUGCAAGGCAUCUUGUGGGUUGGAAAGAUUUUUUUUGGUUGGGGAUGGACUCGCGGCCUAUCAGCUUGUCGGUGAGGUAGUGGCUCACCAAGGCUUCGACGGGUAGCCGGCCUGAGAGGGCGACCGGCCACAUUGGGACUGAGAUACGGCCCAAACUCCGACGGGAGGCAGCAGUGGGGAAUAUUGCACAAUGGACGGAAGUCUGAUGCAGCAACGCCGCGUGCGGGAUGACGGCCUUCGGGUUGUAAACCGCUUUCAAUUGUGACGAAGCUUUUUUGUGACGGUAGCAGUAGAAGAAGCACCGGCUAACUACGUG
rnacentral:rRNA from 1 species